rnacentral:rRNA from 1 species
UACGUAGGAAGCGAGCGUUGUCCGGAAUCACUGGGCGUAAAGCGCGCGCAGGCGGCUAUCCAAGUCAGUGGUGAAAGCCCGGAGCUCAACUCCGGAACUGCCAUUGAAACUGUUUAGCUUGAGGACGAGAGAGGUGAGUGGAAUUCCCAGUGUAGAGGUGAAAUUCGUAGAUAUUGGGAAGAACACCGGUGGCGAAGGCGGCUCACUGGCUCGGUAUCUGACGCUCAGGCGCGACAGCGUGGGGAUCAAACAGG